CCCAUUAUGAUCCCCAGGGUCCUCCCCUGCUGCCUCAUCCCUCCCCAGUGCCCCGUUCUGAUCACAAGUGUCCCCAUUCUGUCUCUUAGAGUCCUCCCCCAUUUCCAGUCCCCUCCAGCUGACCCCCAGAAUCCCUUCAUCCCAUCAAGUGCCCCCACUCCAAUUCCCCCAUUCUAAUCCCUAGUCUCCUACCACCCCCCAUUCCCCUCUAUUUGACCCCCAGGGUCCCGUAUCCUCCCUUCUCCCCCCACCUCCUGGCCCCUUUUUCUGAGCCCUAGAGUCUCCCAUACGCCCCUGUGUGUACUCCUUGCUGACCCCUGGAGUCAGUUCCCCCAUUUUGAGCUCCAUUCCCCCCAGCCAGACCCCUUUCCUGCCCAAUAGAAGCCUCCUGCAACCUCUGGCUCUUCCCUCCCACCCCUCCCUCCACCCCCAGAUGUCUUCCUGCAUUGUAGAGGCUCUGUUUACCCCUUUUCCCCUCACAACCCUGUCAUGGUUUUGUGAUUUUUGGCUUUCGGUAUUCCACAUCAUAACAUCAUGUGGGGCACUGGGACUUUUAACUGUUAAUGCUCAAGUCCUGGGUACCUGCCCUGAAGAGAAGAAGAACUACAUUCCCCAGGGGACCUUGCGGUCAGGGAGAGGAGGUUUAACUCCUGGCAAGGUCGCCUGAUUGCUCUUUCUCGCCUGGCCUCGUUGUGGGCGCUGCUCCGGUCUCCCUGCUGCUCAACUGGACUGCACAUCUUACCUCGGCGUUGUGAAAUGGAUGUUUCUCACAAAUCCCUGUGCAAAGCCCUACGGAAACAACGCCCCCCAGGGCCACCGGCUGUCACCAGGACAACCACCAGCGGUGCCACCACCAGGAAAACCGCCUGUCCCCAAAGUUAUCGCUGUCACCAUGGAACCUGGGCUGUAGCAGUGAACCUUGAAGCCCCAUCAGCGUCCUACAGCUCCUGGAUGCUGUCACCCUGGCUGCUCAUGACUGUCCCACGCUGUCCCCCCGCCAUGGUGGCACAGGGCAGUGCGGUGCCAUCCUCAUUGAAGAGCCCUGCCUACAGCCGGACCCACUGACACCAGAGCCCUCUGGCGCUGUCACCAUUGUCUGCCACGAGGACGGGGACACGCACAGUGAUGAACACUGUGCCACCACCAGCCAGCAUCAGCCAGGUCCAUUCCUGCAGAGCUGUGGUUAUUAUCUACUGAAACACUGCAGACCUGGCCUAUCGGGGAACGUCAAGCUGGUCUUUCGCCUGCGAAUACAUUAAGUUCCUGUUCCAGUUUCUCAAUAAGGUCUUUUAAUAGUUGAUUUUCACUUUCUAAGGUGUCAUCUCUUAUCUCAGCUUGAUUUAAAGCAUUUAACUGGAGGCAGCUAACUGCCUUUCUUUUGUACUUAGAAUGUCUCUGUAAUCCUUGAAAGCAUUUCAUCAUGCAGAAUGGGGAAAUGUUCCCCAUAGCGUGCAGGGGACCCCAUUUCUCAACUAUGGUGCUAAUUGGUAAUAAGGAGAACCCAGGAACCCUGGGAUCUGCCCGGGAUCAUUUUAUCCAAGGGGUUAUGUUCUCCCCCCGACCCAUUUAUAGAAAUUCCGUAGAAAGGACAUGAUGUAAAUUUUAGUAUAUUUGGCCUGCCUGGCUCACCAAGUGUACAAUCAAUGAAUGUACAGAUGUUAUAAUUAUGAAAUAUAGCAGAGAGUUUAGCUAAGCAGCUGUUAGACCAAAAGAGAAUAGAUGGGAUGCUUACCCGUAUCCUGGGCUCGUUAGAAACUCCAGAGGAGGGAUCUGCAGAGGAGACCCUUCCCCACUGGCAGUCAGCUCUUAUUGGGUCUGGGGGAGGUGCAGCCAGGCUCCCCCUCUUCCAGCAGCACAGCGAAUCGCCUUCACUGCGCUCCCUGGCUGAGGCAUUGCUACCUCAGGUGCUCCAUCGAGGUUCAGGCCGUGGUUCAGCAGUUCCCACACAAAGGUGAAUUUCAAGGAGCCGGUUCUGCUUGCUCAGUAGCUCGCAGAUUUCUGGAGGCUGAGUGAACUGGAGCUGGAUCUGGAUGGAACGAAUGAGAAUGAAUGUCACCUGCAAAGACAGGGAAUUGCCUGAGAAGAGGACAAGGGCCUGAUCGGGGAGGACCUCUCACGUGACGCACGGACAUCCCCGGUGCCGGGUGUCAAAUUUGUCUGCCACCAGCUGCCAAAGAUUCAGCUUUUGGCUGCUGAACAAAUGUGAAUCACAGAUGGUGACACCAUGUUUUCACAUUGACUUCAGUAAUUAUGGGCAUUCGUCAAAUUGAACAAAAUAGCUCAUAACUAAUAAAAAGGAGGAGGAAGGAAAGGUGAGAUUCAUAAGGUUUGUGCCGAGUCUUCUUCUGCAUUCCACGAGUGGCAGCCUUCAAGAGUGACACAUGGUUAAUAUGCCAGCAAUUCAGUGAGAACUCAUCAGCUUCAAAAUUCUUGGUUUUCACACUGAAAAAACUCAUCACUUCAAAAUUCUUGGUUUUCACACUGAAGUCUUAGCUCUGCUAUCCCUGACAUCAAUUUAAACUCUCAAAAAAACCCCCCCAAAAAACAGCAGGAAUGGUCUGUUGAAAUUCAGUAGAGCAAAGGCCAUUUGCAGCCCUGGAUCACAGCAAGUGCCUGAGCCCCUGGAUUUCUCCCUGAGCAUUCUGCAGUCAUUGCUGCACAGUGCUCUGCUGCGAUUAAAGGAAGAAGGAAAGCAGUGUUGCCCAACCAUAGCAUGGCCGGAUGAGGUUGAAUGGAAACUCAUAAAAGCCAACAGGGCCUUUGUAAAUGCUGAGCUCUGACAGCAGGGUGCUGCUCUCAGACACUCAGGUAUUCUUACCUGAGCUUUGUCAUACCAGCAGUGAAGUGCAU